rnacentral:rRNA from 1 species
AUUGAACGCUGGCGGCAUGCCUUACACAUGCAAGUCGAACGGCAGCACGGGUGCUUGCACCUGGUGGCGAGCGGCGAACGGGUGAGUAAUACAUCGGAACAUGUCCUGUAGUGGGGGAUAGCCCGGCGAAAGCCGGAUUAAUACCGCAUACGAUCCACGGAUGAAAGCGGGGGACCUUCGGGCCUCGCGCUAUAGGGUUGGCCGAUGGCUGAUUAGCUAGUUGGUGGGGUAAAGGCCUACCAAGGCGACGAUCAGUAGCUGGUCUGAGAGGACGACCAGCCACACUGGGACUGAGACACGGCCCAGACUCCUACGGGAGGCAGCAGUGGGGAAUUUUGGACAAUGGGCGAAAGCCUGAUCCAGCAAUGCCGCGUGUGUGAAGAAGGCCUUCGGGUUGUAAAGCACUUUUGUCCGGAAAGAAAUCCUUGACUCUAAUACAGUCGGGGGAUGACGGUACCGGAAGAAUAAGCACCGGCUAACUACGUG